rnacentral:rRNA from 1 species
GAUGAACGCUGGCGGCGUGCCUAAUACAUGCAAGUCGAGCGAACGGACGAGAAGCUUGCUUCUCUGAUGUUAGCGGCGGACGGGUGAGUAACACGUGGAUAACCUACCUAUAAUACUGGGAUAACUUCGGGAAACCGGAGCUAAUACCGGAUAAUAUUUUGAACCGCAUGGUUCAAAAGUGAAAGACGGUCUUGCUGUCACUUAUAGAUGGAUCCGCGCUGCAUUAGCUAGUUGGUAAGGUAACGGCUUACCAAGGCAACGAUGCAUAGCCGACCUGAGAGGGUGAUCGGCCACACUGGAACUGAGACACGGUCCAGACUCCUACGGGAGGCAGCAGUAGGGAAUCUUCCGCAAUGGGCGCAAGCCUGACGGAGCAACGCCGCGUGAGUGAUGAAGGUCUUCGGAUCGUAAAACUCUGUUAUUAGGGAAGAACAUAUGUGUAAGUAACUGUGCACAUCUUGACGGUACCUAAUCAGAAAGCAACGGCUAACUACGUG